GGGUGAGUAAUACAUCGGAACGUGUCCAGUAGUGGGGGAUAACCAGUCGAAAGAUUGGCUAAUACCGCAUACGAUCUACGGAUGAAAGCGGGGGACCGCAAGGCCUCGCGCUAUCGGAGCGGCCGAUGUCGGAUUAGCUAGUUGGCGGGGUAAUGGCCCACCAAGGCGACGAUCCGUAGCUGGUCUGAGAGGACGACCAGCCACACUGGAACUGAGACACGGUCCAGACUCCUACGGGAGGCAGCAGUGGGGAAUUUUGGACAAUGGGGGAAACCCUGAUCCAGCCAUGCCGCGUGAGUGAAGAAGGCCUUCGGGUUGUAAAGCUCUUUCGGCGGGGACGAAACGGUUCGUGCCAACACCACGGAUCAAUGACGGUACUCGCAGAAGAAGCACCGGCUAACUACGUGCCAGCAGCCGCGGUAAUACGUAGGGUGCAGGCGUUAAUCGGAAUUACUGGGCGUAAAGCGUGCGCAGGCGGCCUCUUAAGUCAGAUGUGAAAUCCCCGGGCUUAACCUGGGAACUGCGUUUGAAACUGGGAGGCUAGAGUGUGGAAGAGGGGGGUGGAAUUCCAGGCGUAGCAGUGAAAUGCGUAGAGAUCUGGAGGAACACCGAUGGCGAAGGCAGCCCCCUGGGCUGACACUGACGCUCAUGCACGAAAGCGUGGGGAGCAAACAGGAUUAGAUACCCUGGUAGUCCACGCCCUAAACGAUGUCAACUGGUUGUCGGGGAAGUUAUUCCUUGGUAACGAAGCUAACGCGUGAAGUUGACCGCCUGGGGAGUACGGCCGCAAGGUUAAAACUCAAAGGAAUUGACGGGGACCCGCACAAGCGGUGGAUUAUGUGGAUUAAUUCGAUGCAACGCGAAAA
rnacentral:rRNA from 1 species